GUAGGGAAUCUUCGGCAAUGGGGGCAACCCUGACCGAGCAACGCCGCGUGAGUGAAGAAGGUUUUCGGAUCGUAAAGCUCUGUUGUAAGUCAAGAACGAGUGUGAGAGUGGAAAGUUCACACUGUGACGGUAGCUUACCAGAAAGGGACGGCUAACUACGUGCCAGCAGCCGCGGUAAUACGUAGGUCCCGAGCGUUGUCCGGAUUUAUUGGGCGUAAAGCGAGCGCAGGCGGUUUGAUAAGUCUGAAGUUAAAGGCUGUGGCUCAACCAUAGUUCGCUUUGGAAACUGUCAAACUUGAGUGCAGAAGGGGAGAGUGGAAUUCCAUGUGUAGCGGUGAAAUGCGUAGAUAUAUGGAGGAACACCGGUGGCGAAAGCGGCUCUCUGGUCUGUAACUGACGCUGAGGCUCGAAAGCGUGGGGAGCGAACAGGAUUAGAAACCCCAGUAGUCCU
rnacentral:rRNA from 1 species